rnacentral:rRNA from 1 species
AACAGGAUUAGAUACCCUGGUAGUCCAUGCCGUAAACGUUGGGAACUAGAUGUGGGGACCAUUCCACGGUCUCCGUGUCGUAGCUAACGCAUUAAGUUCCCCGCCUGGGGAGUACGGCCGCAAGGCUAAAACUCAAAGGAAUUGACGGGGGCCCGCACAAGCGGCGGAGCAUGCGGAUUAAUUCGAUGCAACGCGAAGAACCUUACCAAGGCUUGACAUAUACGAGAACGCACUGGAGACAGUGAACUCUUUGGACACUCGUAUACAGGUGGUGCAUGGUUGUCGUCAGCUCGUGUCGUGAGAUGUUGGGUUAAGUCCCGCAACGAGCGCAACCCUCGUCCUAUGUUGCCAGCACGUAAUGGUGGGAACUCAUGGGAUACUGCCGGGGUCAACUCGGAGGAAGGUGGGGAUGAGGUCAAAUCAUCAUGCCCCUUAUGUCUUGGGCUUCACGCAUGCUACAAUGGCCGGUACAAUGGGCUGCGAUACCGUAAGGUGGAGCGAAUCCCAAAAAGCCGGUCUCAGUUCGGAUUGAGGUCUGCAACUCGACCUCAUGAAGUCGGAGUCGCUAGUAAUCGUAGAUCAGCAACGCUACGGUGAAUACGUUCCCGGGCCUUGUACACACCGCCCGUCAAGUCAUGAAAGUCGGUAACACCCGAAGCCAGUGGCCUAACCUUUUGGAGGGAGCUGUCGAAGGUGGGAUCGGUGAUUAGGACUAAGUCGUAACAAGGUAACC